CGCCCUGCAUUGGUGGCAAACCCUUCCCCAAUCACCACAGUCGCCAGAGCCGCUGCACCUCUCCUUCCUCCUCGCCCGCAGCCCUACCACAGCACGCAUUCCUCCCGUCAUCGAUCCCCACCACCUUUUCGCGUUCCUCCUCCUCCCAGGACCACCUCCUGUCGCUUAGGCUUCAUCGCGGCGGCCGUUUCGAGGCGAGCCUGGCGCAGGCGGGCAGAAGCAACGGGGAGCGGCGGAUGCGGGUGUGAGAGUGCCGAACGGCACCGUCAUUGUUCAUCGUCGCCCCGCUAGGCCGCACCAUAGAAGGACCAGGACCUCACCCCUCAUCCCUUCUGGAUGCACCUCCCCACAUGAGUUCCAGAUGUUGGGCCGCCGACUGCAGUAGCCAGGAUUGACAUUGGUGAUGUCUGUACGUAUUUUCGUGCUCGCCAGUUACACAAUUCUUAGGUUAUGGGAUUGGAUCUCCAUUUUCCAAGAUUCUUAGCUGAUAAGUAUAUUGUGCGGAAAAAUCUCUACAUACUGAUGUUGUGCACAUCCAAAUCCAAGCAAUGUAAAGUGACCGAGCAUUUCACGUGUGGUAUGCUACAUCUCAUACAGUUUCUGAACUCUAAUACCAUUCAUGUGCAGUUGGAUAGUCCAUAGAGCAAAGUUGAUGCUUUGUAUCUCACUUAUGGACCUGUUUAUUAAUGUUGCAGUGAUCUGGGUUUCCAUCUACUUAGAUGCAUUCCUUAUCUUUAUGUGUUCCAUCUAUACAUAUAUGUUUCUGCCCAUAAAUGUAUUUAUGAGCUGGCUCCAUUUUUUACUGCUUUUAUGUACCCUUUAAUCCCCUAAAAAGGGCUAUACAUGCAUUUUGAAGAGUUCACAUUUUCUAUAAACAUAAGCAUUGUCUUACCCCACUGCUCUCUGGCGUGCGGCGACAAAGAUUUCAUCCUUAACCUCCUUCACAACCCCAGGUUCGACUACUUUCCAGUUUUGUUAGUUUUCUUCUUGGCCGCACUGAACAACAUGGCAACAUGGGCGUCAUGGACACACGCAUGCAUCUUGUUGUCCUCCUUAAAAUUCAAUUAGAUUAUACACAGACAUGCAGCCAUGUUUACUUAAGAUCCAAUUAGACAAAUGUUGUUUAUGUUCCAUAUAGUUUCUAAUUAGAAAGGCCACAUAUGUAGGUUGACGUCAUGGCGUGAAGAUAUGGUUUUGUGAUCUAUGGUGUUGAGUCAUCUGUUGAAUGGGUGAUAAUGGAAAUUCUCUUGAGGACAACCCGUGCAUAAGUUUUGUGAGAGUUAAACCUGUCUUAUGAGAGAUUAUCAAGGUCGGAGCAGAGCAGCAAGGGAUGAGAAAAGGAGGAAGGGGUCUAGAGACAGCGAUGGGCAAAACAAUCAUGUGGAGGUAGCAAGAGGCAGUUCUCGACAAAUCACUAUAAGUGCAAGGAUCCAAUGGAAGAAUUUGGUGAAGAACAAGGUCUCCAUCAUUUGGCGUCAAGGUCCCCAAGCCCCUGUAUCCGCCCUUGAAGCUGGGUUUAGCGAGCUAAGGUUGCAGUGGAGAAUGAAUGUGCAAAUUUGCAGCAGCAAAGGUUUUUCUACGUUUGAUGGGCACCUAAAUUGGUUCGAUUUCACGGAUGAUGGAGCCUUGCUGUGUGACGUAUUUCCUGGUGAAGAAAUAUUUGUGUGUACUGGAGUUAAUGCAUCUCCAAGGAAUAACCAAACCUUUAUUCCUAUUUUAUCAUAUAUGCUACACUUAAAUGCAAAGUGUUAGAUAUGUUAACAACUGUUUCAAUCCCAUGUUUUAAAAUGUGAUUGAUUACAAAUUGCACAUGCUCAAGUAUAAAAUUGUAAAAGAAUAAUUUUUGAUUAAAAGAGUUUUCGUUGGCGCUC